rnacentral:ncRNA from 1 species
NNNCUUCCAGUAGUCAUCUGCUUGUCUCAGAGAUUAAGCUAUGCGUGUCUAAGCCUAUACCUUAAGACAGUGAAACCGCCGACGGCUCAUUAAAUCAGCUAUGGUCCCCUAUAUAUAUAUAUACUACUACUACUACUACUACUAAAUGGAUAACUGAAGUAAUUCUCGAGCUAAUACAUGCAACUAUGUGUGUGUUACUUACGUAUCUGUAGUAAAAGUCAAGAUUGCUAGUUAUUAUAUUCAAGCGCGU